CUGUUGCUAAGGGGCAGUUGGGGUUUGUGCUGGCUCUCUCUCUGGCUUACCAAGAGGGGACUGACUGCCUUCCCUUUGUUGGCUAUUUUCUAUCCAGUCUUCUCCAUCCUACCUGUUUCUCUGCUGGCUGAUGUCUACAGAGCUUCCUGGUUGGAUCCUGAACUGUCUGUCGGGAUACUCAGAACUGAACAAAAGACUCCACUUGUGGUCUGCCCAGAGUGGAGAACAGCAGAUGGUUCUUCUGCCUAGGAAUGAAGAUUACUAGAAGCUGGGUCUACUAUGGAAAGCAAUUUUUUGCCUAGGCUAUCACAAUCAAUUCAAACUCAGCUUGUGGUCCCCUGAAGCCCUCCGUUCUCCUUCAAACAAACUGCUCCCUAGCCCAGCAUCUUCUGCAUUAAGCUCCUAAGUAUGAGGUUUUAAACCCAAUUCUAAAACUAUAGAUUUGUCCUUAGUGAAGUCUAUACGAUUUGAUUCAGCCUAUUGUUUUAGUUUAUCAAGGUAUUUGUCAUCCGUUUAUUAUCCCUCUCAGCCUUGACCUUUGUACUAACUCUGAGCCUAUGCUUCCGCUGUGAAAUGUGGGUGACAAUACUGACCGGAUGGCCUUGAAUAAAUCAUUUCACCUUU